AGUCAUUUAGCCAGGCCCAGAGGGAACUGAAUGUAGAACACACCAGGUGUGGUGGGAAAUAAGAGGCAAGAAGCAUGGGGAAGUUCCAAAGCGUGGACACUUCUGGAGGAGAUCUACAGAGGAGCAUUCAUCACAAUUUGGAAGCACUGUUGUUCUCUCUUAUCCACGGUUUCAGUUAUGCAAGGUCAAUCGCAGUCUGAAAAUAGACACAGGGAUCACAUUUACGAAGGGAUCUUUCAAGAGCCUCAAAAGCAGGACUACUUCAUGAGCCAACUCGUAGUGACAAGCCCUGCCCCUGCAAGUGAGAAGGGGGGCGCUUCCAAAUCAAGCACCAUUUG
rnacentral:lncRNA from 1 species